ACGGCUGGGCGGGGACAACUUCUUCCAGGGAGCAUGGCUGGGCAUCGGCUCUGAGAAGGUGGCACUUGUCACCCCAGAUGUCACUUAGAUUAACUCGGAAAAGGGCGCUUUUUUUUUGCCUUUGAAUUUUCAUUCAAACUUUAGUCUCUUUGGAUUUCCCUUUUCUCUUAGGUUAUGGAUGAAAAAUUGACCUCUCAAAGAUUCCCUUGCGACUGUGAGCCCCCAGAGAGCAAGACAGACAUGAAAUACCCUGUUGACCAGAUGACAGACGGGCACCUAUUGACCUGACCUCGGCCAUGCCUCCGUCCCUCACGUUACCAGAAAUAAGAAACAUCCCUAUGUUGCUGAACAACUCACCAGAGGAAUUUUAUUUUCACAAGCGAGAAGGAGCAGAGUCACGGCUCCAUCUGACAAAGUACACCUGUGCUGAGACGGAGUCAGCGCCCCACGCCCUGGGCCAGACAGUUCACGGGAGACGCCACUGAAUGUCCUCGGGGCUCCUUGUGAAAUGAUAAAUGGCACAUUUGGGGGGUUUAUUUUCUAUCAUCGUGCCUACAAUUUAUUGAGCAUCUCCCGCGAGCUAAAUCCGUGACGUCUGUUUCCUCUUGUGAACGAGCAAGCCAACAUGGAGGGAGGUGUUGUUAGCAUCCCCCUUG